rnacentral:rRNA from 1 species
GCAAGUCGAGCGGAUGACGGGAGCUUGCUCCUUGAUUCAACGGCGGACGGGUGAGUAAUGCCUAGGAAUCUGCCUGGUAGUGGGGGACAACGUUCCCAACGGGGCGCUAAUACCGCAUACGUCCUACGGGAGAAAGUGGGGGAUCUUCGGACCUCACGCUAUCAGAUGAGUCAGGUCGGAUGGCUAGUUGGUGAGGUAAAGGCUCACCGGGGCAACGAUCCGUAACUGGUCUGAGAGGAUGAUCACUCGCACUGGAGCUGAGACACGGUGCAAACUCCUACCGGAGGCAACUCUGGGGAAUAUUGGACAAUGGGAAAAAUCCUGAUCGAGCCAUGCCCCGUGUGAGAAGAGCGUCUUCAGAUUGUAAAGCUCUUUAAUUUGGGAGGAAUGUUACUAAGUUAAAACCUUGUUGUUUUGACCUGCCCGACGAAAUACGCACCCGCUAACUAUGUGCCAGCAUCCGCGGUAAUACACAGGGUGCAAACGUUAAUCGGAAUUACUGGGCGUAAAACGCGCGUAGGUGGUUCGUUAAGUUGGAUGUGAAAGCCCCGGGCUCAACCUGGGAACUGCAUCCAAAACUGGCGAGCUAGAGUAUGGUAGAGGGUGGUGGAAUUUCCUGUGUGCGGUGAAAUGCGUAGAUAUAAGAAGGAACACCAUGUGGCGAAACACACCACCUGGACUGAUACUGACACUGCUGUGCUGACGCGUGAGGAGCAAACAGGAUUAGAUACCCUGGUAGUCCACGCCGUAAACGAUGUCAACUAACCGUUGGAAUCCUUGAGUUUUAGUGGCGCAGCUCACGCAUUAAGUUGACCGCCUGUAGAGUACCGCCCCGGGUUAAAACUCAAAUGAAUUGACGGGGGACCGCAUAAGCGGUGCACCAUGUGGUUUAGUUCUAUGCAGCUCGAAUAACCUUACCAGGCCUUGACAUGCAGAGGACUUUC